AAUUGAACAAUAAUGAACUGGUUGGUAGCAUUCCGGCCGAGCUUAGAUAGCUAGAGUUGUUUGAAUUGUGCAUGGCAAAGAUUGAAUGGUUCCAUUCCAUCUGAAUUCCUGAAGCUGGAGAGUCUAACAUAUCUAAACUUCUCAUCGAACAAUUUCAAAGGGUGGAUCCCUAUUGAGUUAGGGCGCAUAAUCAAUCUUGAUACUCUGCCUUUGCUCAACUAUUGCAAGCUCCUCAUGAUGAUGCUCAAAUUAUCAUAACAGAUUGUUUCCCUGUCCCCAUAUUGGUUAUUUGUGAUCAGCAUGGUUCCCAGGUUUGUAAAUGUCUUUUGGCUCCAACCUGU